ACGGGAGGCAGCAGUGGGGGAUAUUGCACAAUGGGCGAAAGCCUGAUGCAGCAACGCCGCGUGAGGGAAGACGGUUUUCGGAUUGUAAACCUCUGUCUUCGGUGACGAACAAAUGACGGUAGCCGAGGAGGAAGCCACGGCUAACUACGUGCCAGCAGCCGCGGUAAUACGUAGGUGGCAAGCGUUGUCCGGAUUUACUGGGUGUAAAGGGUGCGCAGGCGGGAUAGCAAGUCAGCUGUGAAAACUAUGGGCUUAACCUGUAGACUGCAGUUGAAACUGUUGUUCUUGAGUGGAGCAGAGGUAGGCGGAAUUCCGAGUGUAGCGGUGAAAUGCGUAGAUAUUCGGAGGAACACCAGUGGCGAAGGCGGCCUACUGGGCUCUAACUGACGCUGAGGCACGAAAGCAUGGGGAGCAAACAGGAUUAGAUACCCUGGUA
rnacentral:rRNA from 2 species